UACGUAGGUGGCAAGCGUUAUCCGGAUUUAUUGGGCGUAAAGGGAACGCAGGCGGUCUUUUAAGUCUGAUGUGAAAGCCUUCGGCUUAACCGGAGUAGUGCAUUGGAAACUGGGAGACUUGAGUGCAGAAGAGGAGAGUGGAACUCCAUGUGUAGCGGUGAAAUGCGUAGAUAUAUGGAGGAACACCAGUGGCGAAAGCGGCUCUCUGGUCUGUAAUUGACGCUGAGGUUCGAAAGCGUGGGUAGCAAACAGG
rnacentral:rRNA from 1 species